rnacentral:rRNA from 1 species
CCUACGGGUGGCAGCAGUGGGGAAUAUUGCACAAUGGGGGAAACCCUGAUGCAGCGACGCCGCGUGAGUGAGGAAGUAUUUCGGUAUGUAAAGCUCUGUCAGCAGGGAAGAAAAUGACGGUACCUGACUAAGAAGCCCCGGCUAACUACGUGCCAGCAGCCGCGGUAAUACGUAGGGGGCAAGCGUUAUCCGGAUUUACUGGGGGUAAAGGGAGCGUAGGCGGGUAAUUAAGUCAGAAGUGAAAACCCAGGGCUCAACCUUGGGACUGCUUUUGAAAUUGGGUAGCUAGAGUGCAGGAGAGGUGAGUGGAAUUCCUAGUGUAGCGGUGAAAUGCGUAGAUAUUAGGAGGAACACCAGUGGCGAAGGCGGCCUUCUGGACUGUAACUGACGCUGAGGCUCGAAAGCGUGGGGAGCAAACAGGAUUAGAUACCCUAGUAGUC